GAUGAACGCUGGCGGCGUGCCUAAUACAUGCAAGUCGAGCGAACAGAUGAGGAGCUUGCUCCUCUGACGUUAGCGGCGGACGGGUGAGUAACACGUGGAUAACCUACCUAUAAGACUGGGAUAACUUCGGGAAACCGGAGCUAAUACCGGAUAAUAUAUUGAACCGCAUGGUUCAAUAGUGAAAGACGGUUUUGCUGUCACUUAUAGAUGUAUCCGCGCCGCAUUAGCUAGUUGGUAAGGUAACGGCUUACCAAGGCAACGAUGCGUAGCCGACCUGAGAGGGUGAUCGGCCACACUGGAACUGAGACACGGUCCAGACUCCGAAGGGAGGCAGCAGUAGGGAAUCUUACGCAAUGGGCGAAAGCUUGACGGAGCAACGCCGCGUGAGUGAUGAAGGUCUUCGGAUCGUAAAACUCUGUUAUUAGGGAAGAACAAAUGUGUAAGUAACUAUGCACGUCUUGACGGUACCUAAUCAGAAAGCCACGGCUAACUACGUG
rnacentral:rRNA from 1 species